CCUACGGGAGGCAGCAGUGGGGAAUUUUGCGCAAUGGGGGAAACCCUGACGCAGCAACGCCGCGUGGAGGAUGAAGUCCCUUGGGAUGUAAACUCCUUUCGAUCGGGACGAUAAUGACGGUACCGGAAGAAGAAGCACCGGCUAACUCUGUGCCAGCAGCCGCGGUAAU
rnacentral:rRNA from 2 species